GCGACCACGGCCCCUCUGAGGUGGUGUUGUAAUGUGGAUGGCCCAUUUGCUUCUUCAUAGGCAACUGGAGAAGCCACACUGGGG